GAGUUUGAUCCUGGCUCAGGAUGAACGCUGGCGGCGUGCUUAACACAUGCAAGUCGAACGAACCUUCGGGUUAGUGGCGGACGGGUGAGUAACGCGUGGGAAUCUGCCCUCAGGAGGGGGAUAACGGCUGGAAACGGCCGCUAAUACCCCAUAUGCCGAGAGGUGAAAUGAAUUUCGCCUGAGGAUGAGCCCGCGUCUGAUUAGCUAGUUGGUGAGGUAAGAGCUCACCAAGGCAUCGAUCAGUAGCUGGUCUGAGAGGAUGAUCAGCCACACUGGGACUGAGACACGGCCCAGACUCCUACGGGAGGCAGCAGUGGGGAAUUUUCCGCAAUGGGCGAAAGCCUGACGGAGCAACGCCGCGUGAGGGAUGAAGGCCUCUGGGCUGUAAACCUCUUUUCUCAAGGAAGAAGAUCUGACGGUACUUGAGGAAUAAGCCACGGCUAAUUCCGUGCCAGCAGCCGCGGUAAUACGGGAGUGGCAAGCGUUAUCCGGAAUUAUUGGGCGUAAAGCGUCCGCAGGCGGCCCUUCAAGUCUGCUGUUAAUAAGUGGAGCUUAACUCCAUCAUGGCAGUGGAAACUGUUGGGCUUGAGUGUGGUAGGGGCAGAGGGAAUUCCCGGUGUAGCGGUGAAAUGCGUAGAUAUCGGGAAGAACACCAGUGGCGAAGGCGCUCUGCUGGGCCAUAACUGACGCUCAUGGACGAAAGCCAGGGGAGCGAAAGGGAUUAGAUACCCCUGUAGUCCUGGCCGUAAACGAUGAACACUAGGUGUCGGGGGAAUCGACCCCCUCGGUGUCGUAGCCAACGCGUUAAGUGUUCCGCCUGGGGAGUACGCACGCAAGUGUGAAACUCAAAGGAAUUGACGGGGGCCCGCACAAGCGGUGGAGUAUGUGGUUUAAUUCGAUGCAACGCGAAGAACCUUACCAGGUUUGACAUCCUGCGAACCUCUGGAAAC
rnacentral:rRNA from 1 species